CCAUCCAUGGAACCCAUUAUGUGAGGUUGUGGAGAUCUUUUUGUGAGUUGAGGGUGGUAGCUAGGGACCUAUAUGACAUGUACAGGAGAGAGCUAGCCAGACAAUUGAAUGGCACUUGGAUCUAGAGGUUUGGAGUAUAUCUGAGAGUUAGCUUGUUCAUAUAAAAAAUUACGUGAGGUCGUCUUCCCACCAGAUCUGUAUUAAAUAUAGAGGUAUGGACCUCGCAGCUAUCUAUUAGUGUUGUAAGUUAGGGGAGGAGACAGUGGGGCAUGUUCUGCUCUC
rnacentral:lncRNA from 1 species